CUCCCUUCUUCCUCCCGUGCGCCGCGACCCUCCUUCCCCUUCUCUCCGUUCGCGCAGCAACCGCCCCAACCGUCCUCUUCUCCUUCCUCCCGUGCGCCGCGACGACCCAACCAUCUUCUUCUCUUCCGUUCGCAGCAGCUGUCGGCCGCCGCGUCUCCCCUACUGAAGCCGAGCGCCGCCACCUCCAUUCCGUUCUCCAUCUCCGUUCGCGAAGCAGCCUUGCAGCAGCCGCCCCGUAACUAUCCGGUCCAGAUCUGCGGCGCCGUUGCUCUUCCGCCGCUGCCCAGCCGUCUCAGCCGGUUCUGUCUCCGUCGAAGCCACGGUUCUGCAACCGUCUCCGCCGUCUCUAUCUCCGUCCGCGAGGCAAGUCGCACGCCUCAGUCACGAACAGCCUCGCUGACGCAGGUCACGCCGCAUCGCACGAGUUCGGCUACGUUGCCGGGCUACUCCCGUCCGCGCUUAACUGCUGUUGAACGUCCGAACCGUUCUGCCUUCGUCGAUACCCGCUGUCCCAUUUACGAAUCGCGGACCGGUUCGCGUGCAGAAGUGUUUUGCACGAUGUCUUUUGUGUAGAUCCUGCGACAACUUCUAUUUAACGUCGAUUGUCAAAGUCUUGUUACAAGAUAUUGGCGACAUCGGUGAUUUGGAGUUAGUGUCCUUGAGUUACUCCUUAAGCUUUGUUGGAGUUCGAUUCUUUACUCUUGGGGUUUGUUUGUUGGAAUUAGUUCGACCAAGAAAUUUUACAUAAAAUCGAGGUAAGGGAUUUUCUACUGGACUCACUUAUGAUUGUGAAUUGUAUGUCUGUAUGAUUAUCUCUGACUGAGUAAAGAUGAUGAGAUGAUAUAUAUAUAUA